GUGAGUAAUAAAUGUAAAGAAGGACCAAUCAGUAUCUAACAAGUACACCACAGGAAGAUAAAGGAAAUCUGUGGAGGGCUUGUAUCCUUACAGUGCAUGAGGAACUGCUGAGAAACAGGGAAAACCCACGCAGCUACUCUUCCUGCUGGAGCUGCUGGCUCUCCCCAUGUGACAAAGCAAUCCCUGCACGGGGAGGCAGAAAAGAAUGGAUGUCACCACAAGCUCACUGUGAAAGUGUAGGGAACCAGAGUUAAUAGAUCUUGGAUGAGCCCCUGAUCUGCCUGGCCCUGGGUGUAGCAAAAGUGGGAGCAGGUCCAGGAGGAUCUGAUUAAAAUCUCGCAGCAAUGACAGUCCCAGGAAUGCAGAAGGUUGUAACGUGUCUAUCUGUGCUCGCAUCUGGGAGUGGCCACUGAUGCAGAGCUGGGAU